rnacentral:rRNA from 1 species
UGGCUUUACCCGAAGGCGUUUCGCUAACCGAAGGGGCAGACGACCACGGUAGGUCAGCGACUGGGGUGAAGUCGUAACAAGGUAGCCGUAGGUGAACUGCAGAAGGAUCAC